UACGUAGGGGGCAAGCGUUGUCCGGAAUCAUUGGGCGUAAAGAGCUCGUAGGCGGUCUGUUGCGUCUGCUGUGAAAACUCGGGGCUUAACCCCGAGCCUGCAGUGGAUACGGGCAGACUAGAGGUAGGUAGGGGAGAAUGGAAUUCCCGGUGUAGAGGUGAAAUUCGUAGAUAUCGAGAGGAACACCGGUGGCGAAGGCGGCCUUCUGGACAGUGACUGACGUGAGACGCGAAAAGCGUGGGGAGCAAACAGG
rnacentral:rRNA from 1 species